UUCUUCUGCUCCUUGCCUCCUUCCCUUCUUCUGCGUUCUUCAGUUGUGAAUUGAAUCUCGGAUAAACAAUGAAUCAUUUGGCACGAUUCUCUGGAAGCUAGGUCUUUAUCUCUCUCAGGUGCAAGUGAGAGAUGAGCAGCUGCUGCGGCUGUCAAGUUUGAAUCAAGAGAAAUCAGAGAUUUCGAUUUGUAAAAGCGUGAUCUGAGAUCUGAUGAUGAAUUAAAUUCAAAAAUCACGAUAACCCUUUGAUUCAGAUUAAGUUUUCAGUACUUAUACAGAGAGAUCUCAACCGGUGUACAGUUCAUCAAUUUUGCUUAAGUGUGAAUCUGGUGGUGUCUUUUAUUCAAUUCAAAGAAGAAGAAGUUUCUUUCCAUAAACAAGUUAUAAUCUUCUGGUUCUUGGAGUUUAUUUCGCAGGUAAAUGUUACUAGACAUCUAUAGAUCAUUCUCGUGGACUGUGGUUGAGUACGCUUGUUCUGAUUGCAACAUGCCUGCUAUGACAAAGAGUUUUGAGCACCACAAUUUUGGGCACAUAUUUGACAAGCUUACCGAAGAAAUUGGAAGUCCAGUCGAAUUUGAACUGCCAGACUGGGUAAAGGAUCAGAAUCAUAAUACCUACACCUUCAUAAGACGCAGUAUCCAUAUAGUAGUUGAAUAAAUUAAUAUGCUCUGAAUGAACUUCUUGGUGGAAAUUAUUUUGUGAAGGACAAAGACAAUAUCAGUAUUAAGAGAUUAAACUACAUAUGCUAAUCCAUACGUCUUUUUGCUUGUUUUAUUUGUUUAAGAAAAGGUCUUUUUUAUCUUCCUUUUCACGGGUUUUACCUUUUCUUCAAAUAGCAUACUGUAUUUUGUGCUGGGAUUAGCAGAUAGUAGUGAUGUCUUUCUAUCUUUUGAAAUUUUUUGUAAUUUAAAUGAUACAAAGUUUUUGUGAUUGCCAUUAUUUGUUUGUUCUUCA